UACGUAGGGUGCAAGCGUUGUCCGGAAUUAUUGGGCGUAAAGAGCUCGUAGGCGGUCUGUCGCGUCGGCUGUGAAAACCCGGGGCUACCCAGGCCCGGCCUGCAGUCAUACGGGCAGACUAGAGUGCGGUAGGGGAGACUGGAAUUCCUGGUGUAGCGGUGAAAUGCGCAGAUAUCAGGAGGAACACCGGUGGCGAAGGCGGGUCUCUGGGCCGUAACUGACGCUGAGGAGCGAAAGCGUGGGGAGCGAACGGG
rnacentral:rRNA from 1 species